rnacentral:sRNA from 1 species
UUUCGUCUUAGCCACGCAGAAGUCGCGUGUCUAGGUGAGUCGCGGUGGGUCCUCGCUUGCAGUUCAGCGACCACGUUUGUUUCGACGCCGGACCGCGUAAGAGACGAUGAUGUUGGGCACGGAAGGUGGAGAGGGAUUCGUGGUGAAGGUCCGGGGCUUGCCCUGGUCUUGCUCGGCCGAUGAAGUGCAGAGGUUUUUUUCUGACUGCAAAAUUCAAAAUGGGGCUCAAGGUAUUCGUUUCAUCUACACCAGAGAAGGCAGACCAAGUGGCGAGGCUUUUGUUGAACUUGAAUCAGAAGAUGAAGUCAAAUUGGCCCUGAAAAAAGACAGAGAAACUAUGGGACACAGAUAUGUUGAAGUAUUCAAGUCAAACAACGUUGAAAUGGAUUGGGUGUUGAAGCAUACUGGUCCAAAUAGUCCUGACACGGCCAAUGAUGGCUUUGUACGGCUUAGAGGACUUCCCUUUGGAUGUAGCAAGGAAGAAAUUGUUCAGUUCUUCUCAGGUAUAUUGAAAUCUUUAAGAGCAGUAGAGCUGAAGUUAGAACUCACUAUGAUCCACCACGAAAGCUUAUGGCCAUGCAGCGGCCAGGUCCUUAUGACAGACCUGGGGCUGGUAGAGGGUAUAACAGCAUUGGCAGAGGAGCUGGCUUUGAGAGGAUGAGGCGUGGUGCUUAUGGUGGAGGCUAUGGAGGCUAUGAUGAUUACAAUGGCUAUAAUGAUGGCUAUGGAUUUGGGUCAGAUAGAUUUGGAAGAGGUAAGGUAAGAAUUGAAUUUCUCAGUUGAAGGAUGCUUACACUCUUGUCCAUCUAGACCUCAAUUACUGUUUUUCAGGAAUGUCUGAUCACAGAUACGGGGAUGGUGGCUCUACUUUCCAGAGCACAACAGGACACUGUGUACACAUGCGGGGAUUACCUUACAGAGCUACUGAGAAUGACAUUUAUAAUUUUUUUUCACCGCUCAACCCUGUGAGAGUACACAUUGAAAUUGGUCCUGAUGGCAGAGUAACUGGUGAAGCAGAUGUCGAGUUCGCAACUCAUGAAGAUGCUGUGGCAGCUAUGUCAAAAGACAAAGCAAAUAUGCAACACAGAUAUGUAGAACUCUUCUUGAAUUCUACAGCAGGAGCAAGCGGUGGUGCUUACGGUAGCCAAAUGCUAGGAGGCAUGGGUUUGUGUAAAUAUCACUUUAGUGUCUUUUUUUUAAGCUAACCUUGUAUGCCUUUUCUCUCAUUUCAGAACACAGAUAUGUAGAACUCUUCUUGAAUUCUACAGCAGGAGCAAGCGGUGGUGCUUAUGGUAGCCAAAUGAUGGGAGGCAUGGGCUUGUGUAAAUAUCGUUAGUUUUUUUAAAAACCAAAACGUUUAUAUUUGUAUAAGUCAAUUAUAAGUUAAGUUAAUCUAUUUAUUUAAUAAGUUUAGCAUAAGAAACUUA